rnacentral:rRNA from 1 species
AUUGAACGCUGGCGGCAUGCUUUACACAUGCAAGUCGAACGGUAACAGGGUGCUUGCACCGCUGACGAGUGGCGAACGGGUGAGUAAUGCAUCGGAACGUACCCAGUCGUGGGGGAUAACGUAGCGAAAGUUACGCUAAUACCGCAUACGUCCUGAGGGAGAAAGCGGGGGACCGUAAGGCCUCGCGCGAUUGGAGCGGCCGAUGUCGGAUUAGCUAGUUGGUAGGGUAAAGGCCUACCAAGGCGACGAUCCGUAGCGGGUCUGGGAGGAUGGUCCGCCACGCGGGGGCUGAGACACGGCCCAGACUCCUACGGGAGGCAGCAGUGGGGAAUUUUGGACAAUGGGCGAAAGCCUGAUCCAGCCAUGCCGCGUGAGUGAAGAAGGCCUUCGGGUUGUAAAGCUCUUUCAGCCGGAAAGAAAUCGCGCAGGAUAAUACUCUGCGUGGAUGACGGUACCGGAAGAAGAAGCACCGGCUAACUACGUGCCAGCCGCCGCAGUAAGAC